CCUACGGGAGGCAGCAGUGAGGAAUAUUGGUCAAUGGGCGCGAGCCUGAACCAGCCAAGUAGCGUGAAGGAUGACUGCCCUACGGGUUGUAAACUUCUUUUAUAAAGGAAUAAAGUGAGGCACGUGUGCCUUUUUGUAUGUACUUUAUGAAUAAUGAUCGGCUAACUCCGUGCCAGCAGCCGCGGUAAUACGUAGGAUCCGAGCGUUAUCCGAAUUUAUUGGGUUUAAAGGGAGCGUAGAUGGGUUGUUAAGUCAGUUGUGAAAGUUUGCGGCUCAACCGUAAAAUUGCAAUUGAUACUGGCAGCCUUGAGUACAGGUGAGGUAGGCGGAAUUCGUGGUGUAGCGGUGAAAUGCUUAGAUAUCACGAAGAACUCCGAUUGCGAAGGCAGCUUACUAAACUGCCACUGACAUUGAUGCUCGAAAGUGUGGGUAUCAAACAGGAGUAGAUACCCGAGUAGUC
rnacentral:rRNA from 1 species